rnacentral:rRNA from 1 species
AGUGAACGCUGGCGGUAGGCCUAACACAUGCAAGUCGAACGGCAGCACAGGAGAGCUUGCUCUCUGGGUGGCGAGUGGCGGACGGGUGAGGAAUACAUCGGAAUCUACUUUUUCGUGGGGGAUAACGUAGGGAAACUUACGCUAAUACCGCAUACGACCUACGGGUGAAAGCAGGGGAUCUUCGGACCUUGCGCGAUUGCAUGAGCCGAUGUCGGAUUAGCUAGUUGGCGGGGUAAAGGCCCACCAAGGCGACGAUCCGUAGCUGGUCUGAGGGGAUGAGCAGCCGCACUGGAACUGAUACACGGUCCAGACUCCUACGGGAGGCAGAAGUGGGGAAUAUUGGACAGUGGGCGCAAGCCUGAUCCAGCCAUACCGCGUGGGUGAAGAAGGCCUUCGGGUUGUAAAGCCCUUUUGUUGGGAAAGAAAUCCAGCUGGCUAAUACCCGGUUGGGAUGACGGUACCCAAAGAAUAAGCACCGGCUAACUUCGUGCCAGCCGCCGCAGGAA